GUCUAAGUACAUGCCGAAAUAAGGCGAAACCGCGAAUGGCUCAUUAAAUCAGUUAUGGUUCCUUAGAUCGUUUCUUCCUACUUGGAUAACUGUGGCAAUUCUAGAGCUAAUACAUGCAGUGAGCCUGGAGCCCUUUGGGUAACGGGUGCUUUUAUUAGACCAAGAUCGAUCGGGUUUCGGCCCGUAUUGUGUGGUGACUCUGGAUAACUUUGUGCUGAUCGCAUGGCCACGAGCCGGCGACGUUUCUUUCAAGUGUCUGCCUUAUCAACUUUCGAUGGUAGGUUACUUGCUUACCAUGGUUGUUACGGGUAACGGAGAAUCAGGGUUCGAUUCCGGAGAGGGAGCCUGAGAAACGGCUACCACAUCCAAGGAAGGCAGCAGGCGCGCAAAUUACCCACUCCCGGCACGGGGAGGUAGUGACGAAAAAUAACAAUACGGGACUCUUUUGAGGCCCCGUAAUUGAAAUGAGUACACUCUAAAUCCUUUAACGAGGAUCAAUUGGAGGGCAAGUCUGGUGCCAGCAGCCGCGGUAAUUCCAGCUCCAAUAGCGUAUACUAAAGCUGCUGCGGUUAAAAAGCUCGUAGUUGGAUCUCAGUUCCAGACGAGUAGUGCAUCUACCCGAUGCGACGGCUCGGACUGAACAUCAUGCCGGUUCUUUCUUGGUGCACUUCAUUGUGUGCCUCGAGAUGGCCGGUGCUUUUACUUUGAAAAAAUUAGAGUGCUCAACGCAGGCGAGUCGCCUGAAUAAACUUGCAUGGAAUAAUAGAACAAGACCUCGUUUCUGUUCUGUUGGUUUUUGGAAUACGAGGUAAUGAUUAAGAGGGACGGACGGGGGCAUUCGUAUUGCGGCGCUAGAGGUGAAAUUCUUGGACCGUCGCAAGACGAACUACUGCGAAAGCAUUUGCCAAGAAUGUUUUCAUUGAUCAAGAACGAAAGUCAGAGGUUCGAAGGCGAUCAGAUACCGCCCUAGUUCUGACCAUAAACGAUGCCAACCAGCGAUCCGCCUGAGUUACUCAAAUGACUCGGCGGGCAGCUUCCGGGAAACCAAAGUAUUUGGGUUCCGGGGGAAGUAUGGUUGCAAAGCUGAAACUUAAAGGAAUUGACGGAAGGGCUCCACCUGGAGUGGAGCCUGCGGCCUAAUUUGACUCAGCGUGGGAAAACUUGAUCGGCCAGGUCACUGGGAGGAUUGACAGAUUGAGAGCUCUUUCUUGAUUCGGUGGAUGGUGGUGCAUGGCCGUUCUUAGUUGGUGGAGCGAUUAGUCUGGUUAAUUCCGAUAACGAACGAGACUCUAGCCUAUUAAAUAGGUGCGGGGUUCCCAGCACCUUACAACCUUCUUAGAGGGACAAGCGGCUCCUAGCCGCACGAAACAGAGCAAUAACAGGUCUGUGAUGCCCUUAGAUGUCCGGGGCCGCACGCGCGCUACACUGAAGGAAGCAGCGUGUCUUUAUCCCUGUCUGAAAAGACUGGGUAACCCGUGGAACUUCUUUCGUGAUUGGGAUAGGGGCUUGCAAUUGUUCCCCUUGAACGAGGAAUUCCCAGUAAGCGCGAGUCAUAAGCUCGCGUUGAUUACGUCCCUGCCCUUUGUACACACCGCCCGUCGCUACUACCGAUUGAAUGAUUUAGUGAGGUCUUCGGACCGAUGUCCGGCGCGGCCUUUCGGUUGCGCCGGUCU
rnacentral:rRNA from 1 species